AUAUCUCUCCGUACGGGAAGGAUGAGAAGCUUCGACUAAGGUUCGAUUCGAGCGAAAGCGAGAAAGCGUUGCCAACGGCAACGGCCCGAAGGGCGAAGCGCGCAGCGCUGAGUCAUCCUUCCCCCACCACCA
rnacentral:sRNA from 2 species